GUUUGUCAACUCUAUCCAAUGGCUGGUCACAUAGUAAUUGGGAGAAUCACAGAAUCACAGAAUCACAGAAUGGCCUGUGUUGGAAGGGACCUCAAGGAUCGUGAAUCUCCAACCCCCCCACCACAGAAUUUGCAACUGAACUCCUUACUAAAAUCACACGCAGCAGUGAUUUCCAGGAAUGCAGUGAUGUCCAGGAAGGCACUGAUGUCCAGGAAGGACCAUAUUCCAUGGUCUUUGGAGAGAUCUUGUCGUUACUUGCCUGCUGAAUUUAGGAUCUUUGUUACCUUAAUCCUAAAUAAAACUGCUCUUAAAACGUCAUUCAAGGCCCUUUUUCAGUAUUUGUUUACCCUGAGCUGUUCUGAGGUUCUUACAAGACAUGUACACCUUUGUGCAAGUGGAAAACAUGAUUUAUUUGUAUGUCUCCUGGAUUCUUCUGUCUUGACAUGCUCCUUGAUGCAGCCUUUGAUUAUUUCAACUUAUGAACAGUCAAGAGUCCAAUGUUAAGGAAUUAUUAUACAGCAAAAAUAAUAACAAAUGAAUGAGUAGAAUUUCAGCUGUGAUCCAGAUCAGUUCUACAGAGGCUGAACCCUCCCACCAAGAUUCCAUUACAUUUGUUGCCAUGUGACAGAUGACAGCAAAAGGGCAGUCUGACAAAACUGCGUCUGACAUGGAAGUGUUUAUGAAGAACCAGUAUGGAAUUGAAUUCCUCCAUGCAGAAAAAAUGGCGCCCACUGACAUUCAUUGACACUUGCUGUAGGAUGUGAGCACAGUGAGGGGUGGACGGUGCAUUUCAGCAAUGGUGACAGCGCCAUGAAAGACAAGCCACAUUCCAGACUGCCAUGCACAGCUGUCACACCAUAAAAUGAAGAGCAUCUUGACCAACCCAUCUGAGCAAAUCAACUAAUGGUGGUGACUGUGUUGAAAAGAUAGAAUUUUUAUCUGGGAAUUACCUAUAUCAAAUAGUGUUAUUGUUCUCUUUGCACCUGCUGUAGUUUUCAUUUGUGGGUUUUAUUUUUUGUUGUUUGUUUGUUCAUUUGUUUUAAUCUUGUAUUCUGCUUCCUGUGAUUAAAAGCAAGCUGUUUACACAACGUUUAUUACUAAGCAAAGAAAGUCCUCCAUCUGAACAAAUCCAGUUGUUAUACAUGACUAUGAAACAACACAUGUUCAUAUCCAUUUCUGUACAUGUUUACAGUUCAGUGUUUCCAUCCAAUUCAUUA
ensembl:lncRNA